UAUAUAUAUAUAGACACACACAUACAUUUUCCAAAUUUUUAAGCUUAUCAUUUUUCUCAUCAAUUUUUCACAUCUUAUUUACAAGCUUUUCUCCAUUAAAUGACUGAAAUGACCCAUGUAACUAACUUUAGGCUAAUUAAUCUAAGUCAGUUGAUUAUAGGCACUAUGUUCUGAGAAACCCCUCAGCUUUAAUUACUCGAGUCGAAUAGACUCCGGAAAAGGGCAUAAGAUACUGAUCUUUUUCUUUCAAGGGAAUAUACUUGAUCUUAGGUCUAGUGAAAUAAGGUCAAUUCAUAUUCAAAGUCAUCAUACCAACAUGAAACUGCCAACUCAAAUCUCACACAGGCGUUCAAGUCCCACUCGUAAUAUCAUAGUGUAUGUAGUACAGAUGGCACAUGAAAAACCUAGAUUAAGUACUCUGUCAAAAUCUAAGAAAAUAAUAAAAAAUAUGCUACAGCACAUCAAUUAACUCAUAGUUGGUCACAACGCAAAAAUUCAAGUAUAUCAUAUAUCAUGUUGUAGUUUUAAAAACCUUACCCUUUUUUUAAAUAAAUGUUCUAACCACACAAAAUUAAAAAAUUAAAAAUAUUCAACACACAAUACAAAAAAAUAAAAAUAAAUAAAAAAUGCAUGUGCCAAUACAAACCUAAUGAAGAUGCAUAUACAUAGACUUAUUACCUAUAAAGAAAAUACAAAAAUGAGAUGUAUGUAACAGUGAAUGAAUCACAAUAAAUACACACAAACAUGCACCAGAAAUACUUAAUCAAUUAGGUAUAUAAACUCUCUUACCUUUAAAGCACGGUGAUCUAUUUAAGAAUUUUUGGAUCACUCCUCGUUACCUAAACAUGCCUAGUUGAAGAAUUAAUCCUAGUCGACUGUGUCUUAACUCAGUCAAUUGACUUACCUGAUUAGUGAAGAAGUCAAUUCGGCCAUCAAAAUCCUCUUUUUUUAUUUCUAUUGAAGCUCUGAUUCUAUUUCUGCUCUGGAAUUUAUGACACCUAGGCCUUAUAUGUCCUAACUCAACACAAGUGAAACAAGUAUGGAUAAAUCUAGGACCAAGGUUAUACA
rnacentral:lncRNA from 1 species